rnacentral:rRNA from 1 species
AUUGAACGCUGGCGGAAUGCUUUACACAUGCAAGUCGAACGGCAGCACGGGGCAACCUGGUGGCGAGUGGCGAACGGGUGAGUAAUACAUCGGAACGUGCCCAAUCGGUGGGGGAUAACGUAGCGAAAGUUACGCUAAUACCGCAUACGAUCUACGGAUGAAAGCGGGGGAUCGCAAGACCUCGCGCGAGUGGAGCGGCCGAUGUCAGAUUAGGUAGUUGGUGGGGUAAAGGCUCACCAAGCCAACGAUCUGUAGCUGGUCUGAGAGGACGACCAGCCACACUGGAACUGAGACACGGUCCAGACUCCUACGGGAGGCAGCAGUGGGGAAUUUUGGACAAUGGGCGCAAGCCUGAUCCAGCCAUUCCGCGUGCAGGAUGAAGGCCUUCGGGUUGUAAACUGCUUUUGUACGGAACGAAACGGCGAGCUCUAAUACAGUUUGCUAAUGACGGUACCGUAAGAAUAAGCACCGGCUAACUACGUG